UUAACAUUUGAUAAUCAUAAUUUUGUUAUUAAUCUUUUUGUGCCUCUGACUAUAUUUCCUCUUUAUUUGAAUGUACUGUGUGUGUUGGUGGCUGAUUUUGUGGAUAUGAAGAGAAACCUGCAGCAUCUUGUAUAAAUGAGCUGGAAACUGCAUUAUCUACGUACAAAUCGAUUUCUGCUGAUGCUCCUGGCCAAAUAAUUUGGUCUGUGGCUGAAAAUUAUCGUUUUGAACCCGCCUUAAUUGAGGGCAAGAAGCUAAUUGCUGACAUUGGCAAAAUGAUGAGUGUCCAAGUUAUUGUAGAAGGAUCAAUGAACAGUUCAAACCCAUACUUUUCAAGUUCUUGGAGACGCAGUUUUACUGUAUGUGCUUUGAAAUUAAGUUACACAUUCAGUAUUUGUUUUAGUACAGGAGAGUAUCUGGCGUAGCUUUGAAUCACUUAAUCAACUCUACUAUUCUGGCAUAAAAAUGUAGGGGGGGAAAUCUACU